GCAUUUUAAUGUCCCUCUGCUUGGAUUUGCUACUUAGUUUUUCUUUAAUCAGGAUAGGGCACAGCCAAAAUUGGUCAGAAAGGGGAGUAAAGUGGGACACGAGCUUCAAAGUAGGGAAACCAAAGAAGGGAGCAUCCACGUCCUCUCUCUGCAGCUUCUCCCCCGCGUUCUUCGGGCGAAUCCGAGGGACGGGCGCUGCGCUGGGGAAAGUUUGUCCCACCCGCGUUUCGCAGCUGGUUGCAAGGAGAGGAGGAGGAGAGGGAGGGUCAAGCUCGGAGCCUGUGACCGCACGGAUGAUCGAGCCGGCGUCGCGCUUACCUCGCAGUCCUCGUACUUGAUAUUAUCCGUCAAUUUCCAAAGCAUUUUCAUGGAUCGGCGUGAACGGAUAUGCCCCUCUCGGUCUCGCACCCAAGUGGAGCUACUCUCUGGCCUAAUCGCCUCAUUAGCAUAUCAACAAUAGUCCAAUUGCUCGCCAGUACCACAAUCUGCCGCCGGCCGCUCCGACACAGGUAUAAAGGCCUCUCUACGCCGCGAACUUGCUUCUAGAGCGCACUCCAGCCUGCGAACUGAUAAAACCUUCCUCGAGCUCCGCCGCGAGGCCCUGCCCCAACACCCCCUCUCUUACCCCAAUUCCGCCACAUUCCCCUUCCUUUCUUUCUCCGCUUCCUUUUCUCCAGAGAUGCCUUCUGCAAAGCCCGGCACUGCUCAAGGUCCAAGCGCCACGCCUGGGGCCCAGCUUCUAGCACUUCUCCCUUAACCCUGCUACCACGAUCCGAGCUGCCCUUUUGGCCCCGUGCAAUUUUAUUAGAAAUCAUUAUCCCUUUCGCAAUUAAACAUAACCACCAAACCAAGACCGGCGAAGUCACUCCAGGAUUUUUUCCCAACAAGGGAUCGCCUCCGCUCGAGGCAGCCACCCCCUCGGGCCGCAGCGCCUUGGGAGUUUUAUUGGCUUUGAGCUUUCCCCCAGGUUGGAGAUUCUGCCAAGCGGCUCCGGUGGCUCUGCUGGGGUUUGCAAUCCCUUAAUUGCAGCGUGUAAAAUAAAAGUUGUACCCUGAAGAGGUUACUUGACAGCUCCAGGGGUUAAACAAUUUUUCUCCUGUUUGUGUGAAGCUAGGGCCAACUGACAGUUCAAAUUGGUGUUCAGGCUAAGGUUUCCUGGGUGCAACGUGGACACGAAUACAGAACUCCUAUGGAACUGCACACCCGCUUCUGAAGUUGAGCCUAAAAACAGACGUGUGUGUGCCUGCAAGUCUAGAUACCGUCUCGUGCGUGCAUCAAAAUAAAUCACCGGGAACCGACUUUUAGCUGUGUUAAUCUGCUCUAGUUUUCCCAAGAUUCCCCUUUUUAAUUAAAGCAGGGAGAGUUCCUUCAUGAUUUGGUGAUGCUACUAACGCGGGCGUGCUCGCGAGGCAGAGCCCGGCUGCCGCGGAACCUGGAGGCCUGGGAGCCACCUACUCGUCCAGACUGGUCAGUCCGGGCUUUUGGACUCCUCACCGGGGCCUGCUGGGUCCUCUGGGGCUUUUAUCCCUUUCGGUUUUGGGAUUUUUUUUUAAGUAAGAAAAAAAAAAAAGAAAAGGACCUAAUGUGACACUAGGAAAUACAGAGUAAUUAAUUUU
rnacentral:lncRNA from 1 species